UGAUAUAUUCCAAAAUUCUUGCAGUUGAUUCUGAUUUCUAAGAUUAAACUCGUUGUAGAUGUUUAAGUUUCCAUGAAGGUAGGGCACUCUAUUGGUUCAUAUAUAGCACUAGAAAUGCUUAGGAGGCUGCCAGAGAAGGUGGAAGACCAUUUUCAACUAAUUUAUUCGACAUAAUUUUUAACGUUCAAGUUUGUGAAAUGAAAAAAUUUGUUUCAUAAAAUUCCUCAUCUCGUGUUUUAGGUAUUGG
rnacentral:lncRNA from 1 species